rnacentral:lncRNA from 1 species
GAAGUAAUAUUUACAAUGUGCGAUCGAAGUUGGGCAAACUGCGGCUGCAAUAGUGUCAAGGGGUUAAGUAAAGUUGCAGUCCUUGACCCGGCUAAGUAAAGCUGCGAUCCUUGACAUUCUCCCCCAUUUGUUUUGGCGACGUCCUCGGUGCCAUCAAUGCAUGAUAUGCUUCAAUUAAUGUUCUGAAAGCUCCGAGAUCUUUUUCUCUUUCCCAAGUAUUCUUCUCGCUAUUGCAUCCAAUCCAUUUGACCAAGUACUCCUGAUGAUCUUUUCUAGAAACUCGAGUGAUUUGAUGGUCAAGAAUAGCCACAGCAACUUUCUUUCCAACUUUCUUCAGUUCAAACACAGGUCGCUUUGGCUCAUUUCUAGAUGCGUCCUCAUUAUCCGCAAAGUAUAGCUUCAACACACUAACAUGAAAGACCUUGUGGAUUUUACACCAUGAAAGUAGUUCAACUCUGUAUGCAACUCUUCCAAUCCUCUUCACAAUGGGUAAUGGUCCAAUUUAUUUUGGCGUCAAUCAUGAGUCCUUCUCUCUUGUUGGUUAAUAAACAUUUCUGUCGGGAAGUUUAACCAUUACCAGAUCUCUAACAUUGAAUUCAAUGAAGCAACGCUUUAGAUCUGCAGCCUUUUUAUACUCUUUUUGAGCUUUCUCAAGAUAAGUCCGAGCAAUUUCAAUAUUUCGUUUCCACUCUUGAGAAAAAUUCUUUGAUUGAGGGGACUUGGUACUUCGUUCGAUAUCCACUGUAUGAGGAAGUAGCGGUUGCUGGCCAGUAACAAUCUCAAAAGGACUCUUAUUGAUAGAAGAGCUCUUUUGGGCAUUGAAGCAAAUUUGAGCCGCAUCCAAAAGUUUUACCCAGUUUUUCUGCGAAGUAAAGAUAAUGUGGCGAAGAUAUUCUUCUAGCAUAGAAUUGAAGCGCUCCGUCUGUCCGUCAGAUUGUGAGUGAAAACUAGAACUCAUGCUCAAAGUUGAACCAAGAAGUUUGAACAACUCAAUCCAAAAUAUGUCAGUAAAACGAGGAUCUCGAUCACUGACGAUGUCCUUAGGCAGUCCCCAGUAUUUGACAAUAUAUUUGAAGAAGAGUUGAGUUGUCUCUUCCGCGGAUACAUACUUAGGCGCUGCAAUGAAAGUUGCAUAUUUUGAUAGAUGGUCUACCACGACGAUGAUAGUGCCAAAUUCCUCAACUUUUGGCAACCCAAUAAUGUAGUCAAUCGAUACACUUUCGAAUGGUCGGGUUGGGACGGAAAAGGGCUCCAGCAAGCCCGUCUUUUUCUGAUGAUCUGCCUUAUCUUGCUGACAAAUAAGACAUAUUUUUACAUAGGUUGCAAUGUCAUCCCGCAUUUGAGGCCAGUAGUAUGCACGUUGCAGUAGUGCACAAUCGCGUUCCUCUCCGGGAUGCCCUGCCCAAAUCGUGUCAUGGCAUUCUGUAAUUAGUGAUUUCCUCAAAUCUCCGCCCUUAGGAACAUAUAGGCAAUCUCCCUUUGUCUUCACUAGUUCCCCAUCGAGCCAGAACUGUCGAGUUUUACCCUGCUUGAUGAGGUCGACCAAAUAUUGAGUAGCCAGGUCCUUCUCCAUAAGUGCCCGAAUUUGAUCUCUAGUGUUCGUGGAGACGACACUCCUUGAAAGAGCAGCUACGGAGCAAAUGGCAGCCAAAUCGGCCCAUUGACUAAGAGCAUCAACAACAUGAUUACUAGAUCCAGGACGAUACUCUAAUAUAAAAUUGAACUCCCAAUGAGCCUGCUUGCUCGAUAGUUUUGGUUGGGACAUGAAAUGACUAACUGCAGUGUUAUCUAUCUUUACAAUAAAUGGAGACCCAAGUAAAUAGUGACGCGAUCCUCUAAGACAAUGGACUACUGCCAACAAUUCAUUUUCAUGUGCCGAGUAACGACGUUCUGUUUAGUUUAACUUCCGGCUCUCAUAUGCUACCGGAUGUCCUUCUUGCAUGAGGACUCCACCAAGUGAAAAAUCUGAAGCAUCUGUAUGAACUUCAAAUGGUUUAGUCAUAUUCGGUAAGGCUAAAACCGAGUUCGUCCACAUGGACUUUUUCAACCUUUCAAAAGCAGUUUGGCAUUGAGAUGACCAAUCCCAAUCAUUAUCCUUCUUUGUCAAUUCGGUAAGUGGCAAUGCAAUUUCUGAGUAGCCUUUCACAAAUCUUCGAUAGUAAUUGCAUAACCCAAGAAAUGAACGUACAUCAUGUACGAUUUUUAGUGGUUGCCAAUCUUUGAUGGCUGUAACCUUCUUCAAAUCCAUGCGAAUUUUACCUUGUUCAAUGAUGUGACCCAAGAAACUGAUAGAUGUCUAAGCAAACGAGCAUUUAGACGGCUUGGCAUAGAGUUCAUUCUCCUGUAGUCGACUAAAAACUUGCCUCACAUGUUGGACAUGUUCCUCCAAUGUCUCGCUAUAGAUUACUAUGUCAUCCAAGUACACCACGACAAAAUCAUCUAAGAACCCGUAAAGUACCUGAUUCAUCAUAGUACAAAAUGUUGCUAGAGCGUUUGUCAAACCAAAAGGCAUCACUUUAAAUUCAAAGGCUCCAUAACUGGUUACCACCGUAGUCUUUGCUUCGUCUCCCUCCUUGAUCCGUACUUGCCAGUAUCCAGAUCUAAGAUCAAUUUUGGUAUAAUACUUUGCCCGACUCAAUCGAUCGAAGCAAUCUACAACUAGUGGGAUAGGAUAGCUAUUCUUUACAGUAAUCUUGUUCAAGGCUCGAUAAUCACAACACAUUCUAAGAGAAUCAUCGGCAUUUUUUCUGAAACAAUACAGGAGCUCCGUAUGGCGACUUCGUAGGCACAAUGAUUCCACUCUCCAACAUUUCUCCCAAUUACCUCCUAAGCUCUUCAAGCUCAGGCUGAGACAUAGGUAUGGUGCCCUGGCAGGAGGUUUGGCACCUGGAAUAAGUUCAAUUUCAUGAUCAAUCGUUCUUCUUAGUGGUAAUUUCUUUGAUAAUUCGUCCGGCAUGAUGUCCUCAAAUUCCUGAAUAAGCCUUUUAACGGGUUUUGGAACAAAACCUUUCACCUCUUCGAUCUUCUCUAAUCGAAGAGUGCACAAAAAGAAGGUUCAUUUCUCUUAAAACUCUUACUAAAUUACAUGGUUGAGAUACUCUUCUCGCCCAUCCUCCCAACAUGUGUAAGGAUGACACACAGCUUAUUAACCAUCAUCAUUAACGAAUCGGAAUAUGGCAACGCUGCUGUCUUAGUAUCUCGAAGAAAUUCCAAUCCCAGAAUAAGCUUGAAAUCAUCCAUCUGAACUGCAGAUAAAUUUGUCCUUCCCUCGAAAGGACCUGCUUUGAUCAACACCGAUUUUGCUACUCCAGCUAUUGGUUGAGCAGCGGAGUUGAUUGCUUUGACUUUUCCACUACCCUUUUCCAGAACAAGUCCGAGCCGCUCUACUUCGAUACAUGCAAGGUAGUUGUGGGUAGCACCAGUAUCCACCAUAGCCCUGAUUGGCUUCCCGUUGAUUUUUACAUCAAUGUACAUUAAACCUUUGGCCCUACAAAUUUGAGUAUUCGCUUCUUCCAUCUUUGCCUUUUUCAAUGAAACAUCAUCUUUUUCAGCAACCCGAUGCGACAAUGUGUUGCAUCGAAGUGAAAAUGUCGCAACUACGUCCUCAUCCUCUUCGGAGUCAGUCUCACUAUGACAAUUAGCUUUUGGGGCCUCUUGCUUUGAACUUGACCUGCCACUUGCUAGCUGACAAUGUGCAUUCACCAUCCGCUUCUGAGGACACUCCGACACCCGAUGAGGUCCUUCACAUAAAAAGAACUUCAAUUUGGGAGUGACAUCAGUUCGGCCCUCUGUUGCUUUUCCUUUGUUCCAACUGUUACAGUUGCUGCCGUUUGGGUUCGAGCUACGUCCGUAGGGUCUGUUACCACCUCCAAUUGCUUGAUUACUCCCCGAAGGUCGAUCUUUUCUAGAUUCUGUUUGGUAGUUGCUCAAGCAUUUGACGACUCCCAUGGCCGUGCUCAAAUCAGUAACUUUCUGUCUUUGAAAUUUCGUGCGUGUCCACGGUUUCAACCCUUCCCUAAAGGUGAAGAGCUUAUCCUUUUCCGACAUAUCUUGAAUAUUCAGCAUAUGUCCUGAAAAGGAUUUCACAUACUUCCUGAUAGAGCUUGUGUGUUUCAGGUCUCGAAGUGCCCGUCGAGCCUGAUACUCGACAUUUUCCGGGAAAAACUGCGAUCUGAUCGCUUCCUUGAGGAGAUCUCAAGAAUCUAUUCGAACUCUGUUGGUCUGAAUGUCAGCAUAUUUGGUUCGCCACCAUAGUUUUGCAUCUCCACAUAGAUACAUGGUAGCUGUGGUUACCUUUCUAGCUUCGUCUUCAAUCGAAGCUGCGAGAAAGUACUGUUCCAUGUCAAACAAGAAGUUUUCGACUUCUUUUGCAUCACAUGCCCCUCCGUAGGUAUACGGUUCAGGAAUUCUGAGUCUAGGAGCAUACUCAGGUAUGGGAGCUUGCCCAUUGCCCACCGCACGUUGUAGUAUCCGCAAUUGAGCUCUUAAUGAUUCCAUUUCAUCCUGCAGAUCAAGAAUGAUUGCAGCAGUUUCAGUUAUUGCUGCGCAAGCCCUUUGGCUUUUAUCCAAUUGGAUGUGUAAUCCGCAAAUCUCGAAUUCUACCAUCUCGACUUUUUCCUCGAGACCGUCCAAGGCAUAGCACAACCUAGUAGUUGUCUCAUCAAACGCAUCCACGCGUUGUUUAAUAGUACUCUUCUUUUGAGGCUCUUCCAUUUCAGUGGUGUGGGAUGUAAUUGAAUCCAUAACUUUCUUAUCGAGGGUCGUGAGCCGCAACUCUUAUACCAACUUUCACGAGGUGCCUUUCUUGGCACAGAAAUGGACACCGUGCGACAGUAGUCUGCUCCGCUAGACUACCUUCCACCUUUUCUCGGUCGCGUCGGGACGAAAAAAAAUUUGAUUACAAUUUUGUAGAAGGCUUGCAAUAGAGAAUUUAAAUACAUUGAAAGUAAAUUGAACAUUGAUUAAUAAAAACUGAACAUUACAAUUGACGAAAGUAGAAAAUUAUAAUUGCUGGUGCAGGGGGCGAACACCAGUGAGCUUGAAAGAUUUUUGAAUGACUAAUACCCCAUAUAAUAGCAUUUUGAACAAAAACCUAAGUGACAGGAAUAGACGUUUAAAAGACGAGAAAUCAUACUAAACGUUUACUAAUAUCAGAGCUAUUUUACAACUAAAAUAACUAUUACAAUGAAAAGAAAAUUACAACUCAAAGUUGAAGUAAUAUUUACAAUGUGCGAUCGAAAUUGGGCAAACUGCGACUGCGAUAGUGUCAAGAGGCUAAGAAAAGCUGCGGUCCUUGACACACGUACACGACCAUUAUGGUGGCGUUUUCAUGUCUAACACGUAUCCAACAUUCGAUAUGGUUUGUUUUAGUUUUGUAUAUAAUAGUAUAUUGUCGGAGAAGUGCAGUGAAUCAUCCGGGU